AUUUAAUUUUGUCUUGGUUAAAAUAUUUAUUAGAUUAUUAUAUUACAUGCAAAUUUUUGUGAAAAGUAUAUUUAAAUAAUAAUUGGAAUGCAGUGAUAAUAAUUAAUUAUCAAGGUUAUCUUGGAAUUAGUAAUUAAUAUAAUAUUGGCUAAAAUUUGUGCCAGCUGCCGCGGUUAGACAAUGAAUGUGAAUAAAUAUUUUUAGUUAGAAAUUAAUUGAAUUAAUAUAUAUAUAUAUAUAUAUUAUAAUUUUGGGUAAAAUCAAAUUAUAAUGAUAAUUAUAUAGAAAUUUUUUUGAAGUUUUGAAAUUUUUAUGAGAAACUAGGAUUAGAUACCCUAUUAUUUAAAAUGUAAAAUUAUUACUAGAGUAGUAAGAGUUAAGGUCUUGAAACUCAAAAGAUUUGACGGUAACUUAAGCUUUUAGAGGAAUCUGUUUCGUAAUCGAUAAUACACGAUUUAUUUGACUUGUUCUAGUAUAUUCAGCUUGUAUACCGCUGUCGUAAGUUUGUCUUUUUAGAGGUAAUUUUCUAAAAUAAUAAUGUUAAUAAUGUCAGGUCAAGGUGCAGUUUAUGGACAAGAGUUUAAUGGAUUACAAUAAGUUUAUUUAAAUGGAUUUGUAUUUGAAAAAUACAAUGAAGGUGGAUUUAAAAGUAAUGUUUAGAAAAUUAAAAUGUGAAUAUGAUAUUAAGUUGUGUACACAUUGCCCGUCGCUCUCGUUAUUAAAAUGAGAUAAGUCGUAACAUAGUAGAUGUACUGGAAAGUGUAUCUAGAAUGAUAAA
rnacentral:ncRNA from 1 species